GCUGAACUUAAGCAUAUCA
rnacentral:rRNA from 2 species